ensembl:lncRNA
UGGAGAGCCCAGAUACAGACGUGGAGGCCGUGAGAUUCGAAGAGUUUUGUCUGAAAAUCUCUGAUGAUUCGCACUGUACAACCGCUGAACCAGAGCCCAGACAAACGGUUACCAACAAGGAGGCAGCUGAGAGCACACAACUGGCAAUGUCUUCCCCGUCGGACGACAAGGAAGGUGGGUCACUUGAGUUUUUUUUUUUUUUUUUUUUUCACCUUUAUUUAACCAGGUAGGCUAGUUGAGAACAAGUUCUCAUUUGCAACUGCGACCUGGCCAAGAUAAAGCAUAGCAGUGUGAACAGACAACACAGAGUUACACAUGGAGUAAACAAUUAACAAGUCAAUAACACAGUAGAAAAAAA